rnacentral:lncRNA from 1 species
ACACAUUCAUAUUCAUUCAAUCAUUGAAAAAAUGGCCUCAAUCUUAAAAGGAGGAAGACUUACCUUGGCUCUUAUCAUCCUCAUCGUCAUUAGUUCAUCAUCUCACAUCAUUACAACCACCGCCACUGCUCGGACUCCAUACAACCAUGAACGCCAACUAGGUUCGGUUUUCUCUAAACAUCUCAUAGUUAAUAAUAAAAAAAACGCUAAUAGAAGCUGCUCCGGUAUUUCUUAUAAAUUAACUAAGGUUGCAUUGUAAAUACGUGUAGUUAAUUUUUUUUUUCUUUUAAAUAAGAAAACAGUUUCAUUUUAUCUUACUUUCGGAGUUGUAGGGUUAUAUUCUUAUGAUUUUGUUUUCUAUAUUUAUUUCAUUCGUGUAAUUACUAUCAAUAGUCAAUAGCUAAUUUGUUUUCCAUUCAUCACCGGUUUUCCAGAUUUUCUGAUCAAACUAACCUUAAUUAUAAUAUAUAAGAGGCAUAUACAACUUGUCCAUCCCUAAAGAUUAAAAAUAUUAGAAAUUGAUGUAUGCAGCUACAAAUUGCGAUUAUGACCCCAUACAACAAAAUGAUGGACCCGACGGGUGUGGAAGUGGAAGUGGAAGUGGAAGUGGUGGAUCACCAAAACCAAAACCAAUACCAUGCGGUUCAAUGCCAGGUAAGAGCCUUUGUAGGAAGGGUUGCUGUGGAAAGACUAAAAUGGGAAGGGCCGAAUGUUGCUAGUAGUACCGGAGGUUGUACUACAUCAAAUAAUGUAUCUGAAUCCAUUGUCUAGAUCAGAAAAUAAUAUUUCAAAUCAUUUCCACCCUUUUUGACUGCUUUUACCUAAAGUCGUAUAUGUAUGAGUAUGUCCACAAUAAUUUUAUAUACAGAUGUUGUUCGAAAUGCUGUUUUAAUCUCGAGGAAAAGAUUCUAUCAUUAUAUUUGUCAAGAUGGUUCACAAGUUUAGUAGAAGAAAAAAAAAAUCAAACAUUGGCACAUGGCUGGCUAUCAACUUUCACAAGCGGCAUGAGCUUCAUCCACAUAACUUUGUACCACAUGGAGUGUGUACCAUAUCGAUGGUCACUUCUUUGUGUUGUGUUUUAGAUCCCAUAAUGUUGGUUAAUUUUAAUUUUGAUUCAAAAUGGAAAUAUAGGAUGUGUGUAUAGUAAGGCCAAUAUUUUAAGACUCUGACUAAGCCUUAAAGGUCUCAGGUCUGCAACACCGAUGAGCCUCUCUCUCUUUCUCUCUCUCUCUCUCUCUCUCUCUCUCUCGCUCUCUCUCUCUCUCUCUCUCUCUCAUGUGUAGAGUACUCAGUAUUUAGUGUGACAGUGGUUUUGGUUGAGGUGGAAGAAACCCACGCCCUUUUCACGUGGGAAGUAUCCAAAGUGCUACGUCAACAUGUCAUGCAACUACGGUUGACCGGUUAGAUGGUCAGAAUUACAAUAAAUUAGUAAAAAAAGUGUCCAAUUUGAAAAAAAAAUCUUUGUCAAAAUCAGAUUUUUAUGAAAACUUAAUUAUGAUAAUUUGCAAUUUUUAAAAUUUUAAGAACCUAAACAUAAAUAUCAAGGGUUGCGUAGAACCAUAUUUAUGAUGUAAACCAAAAAGUUGACUUAAUGUCGAUUUUACUUGACUUGAUGUCUAUUUGACAGAGUAAUUAAAGUUGUAGUGCAACAUAAACCAAGCACACUAAUAGAAACAUGUGCUCAAAAUACACAUCGUUUAAAGUUUACGCAAAAUCAAAUGAGCCCCAAACUGAGGUAGAAGAUUGACAAUGGUAUGUGGAGCAUGUGAAUGAUGGAGAGAGAUCAAAGCAAAAAUGUUGCGGAAUCAUGACAAGUGCCAUUUUGGCUUCUAACAAGGCAAAAUUCAGUCCAACAAAUAUACGUGGACCACCACCAAAAGGGAGAUAUGAUGUUUGUCCCUUGGUCACCUUCGAGACACCUUCAGAAAAUCUUUCAGGCUUGAACUCGCUCACAUCAUCACCCCAUAUAUCACGAUCAUGGUGCAUAAGCAUAAUCUGCAAUUGGUGGAAAGUUCCAUCUGGUAAUUUUAUGUCCCCUAAUUUGGUUUCCUUAUGUGUCAUUCGUCUUACUGCCGGUGAGUAUAGUCUAAGAACCUCAUGCGGAAUCAUGCUAACCUGGAAAACAUAAUUGGAGAGAAACGAAUAUAUAGCAUCAUAGGAGGAUUGUCACAACUAGGAAUUCUAAUGUUUUUGUAAACAUUAACAAUGAUGACAUUUGUGACUAAAACUUGAAAACAUGCAUGAUUUUUAUUCAAUGACAACAAAAUUCCAUCAAACACUCUAUGCAAACACUUCAAAUGGUCAACAAAAGAUUGGAAACCCCAAAAAUCCCGGUUUAAGUCCACUAUGGACUAGGAUUUCCUUAUUGGGCCUAAUGGACCAAUAACCUUCCAAUUUGACUAUUUUGGGCUUAGGACCCUUAAAUAGGCCCUAAUUGGACCCACUUUCAUGAAACUUAACAUUUUAGGCCAUAAUGAAUCCACAAUGAAUUGGUUUGCCUUAAUGGGCCUUAUUGGGCUAUAACUAACCUAAUUAGCUUUCAUGAACCAUAAAUCCAUUCGUUUAUACAAAAUUGGGUCGUGAACUACAAUAAAGGCCCAAUGGGCCGAAAAUCUUGUCCAUAAACAUUAUAAUCUCAAACCAAGGAUUUAAGUGGGCCAAACUAAUUCAUUCCCUCCUUCCUUUGUUAGCCCAUUUCGGCCCAAGUAAGAAAAAAAAAAGAAUGAAAGAUUUAUCCAUGCCACCUCAUUUUUACAAGAAGGAUAACCAAGCAUUAUACUCAACAUAUAUCCAUGCAACUUCGCAUGUCUCCAUGCAACUAUCACUUCACUUCUUUCUCUCCUCUCUCUCUUUCUUCUUAUCUUCGGCCGAGGCUACCCAUACACACAUCACCUUUGCAAAUUACUUCAAACUCUCUCAAUAACAUCUUCAUGCUUCCUCCAAAUUUUCGAGAAUCAUAAGGGCUUCAAGAAGAAUUUCAUCCAAAAAUCACUUCCAACUAUAUACUAGUGGUAAGAUCUUGCAAACACGUUUUCCUUCUACACUUAAUCACUUUUCUUACAACCUUAAAUUCUUGAUCAUACUCCAUAGAACCCUUCAAAUUCGAGGACACUUCAAGGAGCUUGUUAGGGCCAAAAACAACACCAUCUUCUUCCAUUUGUUCUUCAAAACCAUCAGCAACCAAGCUAGGUGAGUUCAUACCCCCUUGUUUUCGGUUUUUACUUGUUUUUUUUUUUUUUGGGGGGGGGGGAGAAUACAAGUGUUAUGUGUUGAUCUAUGUGUGUUUGCAUGUAUUAUGUGAUUUCUUUGGUUUUUGGUUGUGAUAAUAUGUUAAUACUUGAGAUAUUUCGAGAUCUAUAGCAAAAGGGUGAAAGAAUCAUAAACAAAAACAUAAUAAACAACAUACAUCACAGAUCUAAGGGUCCUUAAGUUUAAUAAGUAAAAAACAAAGCCAAAGAUCUUUACAAGUGUCAUUUUGCAAAAAUAACAAAGAUUGGGUAAAAAUUGAAAAUUUUCGGUUUUAUCAGGGUUAUAAGGUAUUUAUUUAUAUAAAAGCUGAUUUUUAUGAAAAUAAUACUUUUUAAAGGGUCAAAAACAUAAAUUUUAGCUUAAUGGGCUUAAAUUUGGGCCUCACGAGUUUUGGGCCCAAAGUUGCGAAAAAUGAAGAAUUUGAGCGGCUGAAAGGGAUAUCUUAACAAACUAUGAGUCUAAAACGUAAAUAAACUAUUUCAGGGGCUGAAAAUGAUUUGAUGCAAAAAUUGGACUAAAAAUGCAUAGUUUUUUAUUUUUGGGUCAAAAUUGUAAAACUUAUAAAAUUUGAGCCAAAAACGUAAAAUUUUUACAAAUAAACGUUGGAAAUGAAAAAUACAAUAUUUUUGGGUUGAAAUUAUUAUUUAAAUAAAGUUUGGGUCAAAAAUGUCAAGAAAAAAUGGUUUAAGGACCAAAAAUGUCAAUUUUGAAAAAAAAAAGAGAGAGACUAAAAGUGCCAUUUUUAUAGAAAAAGAGGCUGCAAUUGUCAAACUAAAUGUUUUUGUGCCAAAUAGACAAUUAUAAAAUUUAGGGUUAAAAAUAUCAAGUUUAUAACGCAUNCGAAUAGUUUUUCAGAAAUUAGUUUGUAGAGAUGAUUAGUUCUUUUAUGCAAAUUGACUACUACACCAAAUAAAUAGUGUGUGUGUUAAAAACUCAAUUCAAGGUAAUCUUAAAAACUUUCAUACUCAACGCACAUGGCUAUAUAUUCAAUGUACAUUAACAUUAACUCAAUCCAUUCAAUUUAGACUCAUCCACAACGUUACAAUGUUAUAUAAUACCUUUAAUAGCAAUAAAACUAUAAGUCGGCGAAUAGUUUAUUUCGGAAAUUAGCUUCUUUUCGGGAGACACUGAUUAGUUACAAUUUAACGGUUAGUUUGGUAUAAAAAACAUAUCAAAUUAUGAAUAAGACACAAUAUAUUGUAAAUUAGAGUUUAGAAUUUAGUGUUUAAUGCCGAGGGGAGGGGGUUCACUUAAUAAAUAUAAGUAUGCUAUAGUUUUAGUUUUAGAAUAUAAUAUGUUACUUUGGGUUAAAAAUAAAAGUAACAACCGUUAACAUAAAUAACUACAUUGGUGUUAUGGUUUACAAAUGAAUCUUAUGUUACUAUUUAUUAAAAUGAAAAUGUUUGUUGUUAUUUUAGGUUUAAGAAAGUUUGGAAGUAAAGACAUAAAAAUAUGAUUAUGUUUUACUUUAAAUGUGACAUAUAUUUUUUGGGGUUAAAGAUAAAAAUACCUUAUAUUUUUUGUAUAAAAACAUGUUUAUAUCCCUUUUUGUUAAAAAGAUAUACGUUUAAACAGUUUAUUUACUUUAAUUUAUUUUUUUAAUAAAUAAGUUAUUUAGUGAAAUAAUUUAAUAUAAUUUAUAAAAAAAAAAAGUCUUAAAAUCAUAUGUAUACAAUUGAUAAUUUAUUAUUGACAGUUUUUAAAUCUUUUUUAAUUAUGUUUUAUUUAAAGCAAUUAAAAAAACUAAAAUUGCUUAUUUGCAAAUAUAACGAAAUUAAUAUAAUGGGCUUGAAUUCUUUUGGAGACAAUGGUCUACACCUUUUUUUAUUAUCACAAAUUAAGAAAGAAAUUUAACACGGCACAUUGCAAUUGACUAUCAGACUAUGUGCACCCUAAAUGAAAAAUAAAUAUUAAAAUAAAUUUUAUCAAAAACCAAAAAAAAUUAUUGUCUUCAUAAUUAAACAAACACACAAGUUAACUUCUAAACAGUUAUCAAAACAGAAAAAAAGUCUUUAUUUCUCUUUUUGCUACCUAUUUGUUGCACAUAAAACCAAACCAUUUCCUUGCAAUUACUAAAAAGGAAAUGAGGAUGUAGUUUACAAAGUUGGCUAAUUCAUAAAGGAAACCGAAUCACAUUAUGAAAACACAAAAACCUAUCACACCAUGUUUUGUUCCAUCUACAUCUUUUUGCAUGUCCUGUCUUCCCUUCAGCAUUUGCUACUCCAUUUGGUAUUUUUACAACUGCAACAUAUUCAAAAUGAAAACAAAACCCCUCAAAUUUACCAUUGAUAAAGAUACUAAGACUCCAUUCCACUUAUAUUGAAAGUUUUUUAGUGAAUAAUGGGAUAAUUGUUUUCAUACUUAACAUAUAAAUCAACUAUCAACAAAAAAACUAAAUAUGUAGGUACCGGGAUAAUAAAUCGAUGAAGAGGACGGUAAUGUCCAGAUCUGUACAACCAAUAGAAAACCCAAAUCAAUUAUUAACAACAAAAAAAUCGAUUAUAUCCUCUGUGUAUCUGCCAAGAGCGGUUCCAUCAGGGGCGUUUUUGUCUAACUAAGACCAAAAAGAGCAAAAUCUCUAUCCAACCCCACAUUGUUAUUUCUAUAUCAAGGGUGAGAGAAACAAAGCACCAAAAGGGAGCCAAACCAAAUAGAAGCAAUAGUCGCAACAACUAACAAUCAGAAAAAGACAAACAACCAAACAUCGGUGGAACGCCAAAGAAUAAAGGAAACAUGAACAUAAACAACACCGCCACCAGAAAGAGAAAGAGAAAGUCACGACAUCACCAACACACCACAUCACAGCAGACAGACCAAGCAAACAGACCAGAACGACCUUGGGGAAGAAAAGUCCAAUACGAAACCAAAAAGCCAGAAUGCAAGAAAAGCACCACCAUAAAAGCCUAUUGGGAGAUAUCGAUCAGGACAAGCUGUGGGAUAAAAUGACGCCUACUAAAAGUUGUAAUGAACCAUAACCAAAGAAACAAACAAGGGCAAAAUCAAUAAACUGCAACAUGCACCUCUCCAAACAACUUGAAAAACACCAAACCACUAUACAUUAGAUCUGCAAAACAACCGAAAGUAGAAGAAAAAAACACGCACACACCAAGACCACCCCCCCCCCCUAAAAAAAACGACCCAUGAAGAAAAAAACAUACAUGAAGAAAUAUCAAGAUGCAACAAAAAAACCAACAAAAAGUCUACCCUAAGCCGAUAUGACACUAGGUGGAUCUUUGAAAAGUUAGUGUCAUAAUAAUUAUAAAAAAAAUGCAAAAAAGACUAAAUUAAAGAAGGCUUUAUCCACUUCGUUAUCUAUUUCUUAGUGAAUUACCAAAACCUCAUCCUAUCUUUAUUACAAAUUAAAGAUCUCAGGCUCUUAGUGUGGAUAUAUCAAUGAAACAGAGAACCUAAAAUAGGAAGCAAAUGUAGAUUAAUUUUUUUAUGCAAUCCUAUAUUCUACAGAAGAUUUUAACUAAUUUAUAUUAUUGUAAAUGCAUCAUUAAAAUUAUACUGAACUUUUAAUAAUUAUUAAUUUGCACUUCAUACAUGAAAUAAUACCAAUUACAUAUAUAUAUAAACAUAUGAAUAAGGAUGGAGGAGUUACCGGUGGAUAAUGUGAUCCAUAAUUCCAUAUUUGGCUUUCGUUUCUACAAACAUUGAAGAAGUUGUAUCAAAAGAUGAAUUUAAGAUACUAACCGUUCUUGGCUCCCUGUACAAAAAGGAAACGAAAAUGAGUUUAGAAAUCUCAUUAAAUACCUGUAAUUUACUUAUUUAUUCAAAUAGAUAACUUGAAAAGUCAUUAUAAUGACAAAGUCACUAUAAACUCCUAUUUAAACUCCUAUUUAAACAAAGUCACUAUAAUCUCUCGUUUACUAUUUCAAUUUCAAGAUAAUGACAAAGUCACUAUAAACUCCUAUUUAAACAUAUCUAAACCGACCUUAACUAAGAGUAUGACGAAAAUGCCCCUGUUAAGCACCUUAACUACAAAUACUACACCUUUCACAUGUCUGUCAGAUCACAGGCUCCCAAUCUUAUUUCCUUAACUAUCUCACGCCAUGUGUAUCUCUAUUCACCAUAAUGCUAACAUAAACCAUUGACCAAAAUUAGAAAAAAAAUAAUUAUUUUGAUUUUUUAAGAAUAUUUGAACCAGCCUCUUCUCGUUGAAAAACAUAACACAAAAAAUCACUGAACUAAAAAAGACAUGGUCAAAGUAAAUACAAGUGACAUUAGGAAAGUCCAAGGCUACUGAAACUAUUUUUAAUAAGCAACUCACACAUAUUCAAGAUGGAUUGCAGAUAACAUGUUAUUUAUUGUCCAUCAAACAUUGUUAAAAUCACGUCGCUCCUAAAUCGUGAAAUGCGCUUACCACAGUUGCUUCUGACAGCACAAUUGAUUAAUCUACGAGUCGUCAAAUUGCCUAAGGACAAUAAAUAACAUGAUUAAAUGCAUAAUCCAAUUAAUCGAGUGAAUUGCACAAAGAUAAACGAAGAGCAACCUCGAGAGAACCUGUAAUGGUGAUGAAUGGGGAAGAAGGGGGAGACGGGGGAGAAGAAGGCGAUAGAGUAGCCAUUCCUGUGUUUGCUAUUUCUAGUAUUUUAACUCCUUGUUGGGUUAAGGAAUCAGAAAAAGGGUUAUAUAAUAAACCAUACAAACGUGUAAACUCGGAUAAAGGUCGAAUACUCACAGAUCAAGUAUUGCAUCCUUGUUUUCUUCACCGUUAAUGACCUCGAUUGCUUCAAGCCUGACGAUCGGAGCAACCUGAUCCCCGGUGUCUUCGUCGUCAGCAGCGGCUUCCUCCUCCUCUCUGUGUUCGGGAUCAUUGAUAGCCAUUAUAGUCACGGAUCAAAGAUGCUGAGACCUGAGAGCGUCUGUUAGGGUGAAAAUCGAAGGCGGCGGUGUCUUCGUCGUCAGCAGCAGCGACUUCCUCCUCCUCUCUGUGUUCGGGAUCAUUGAUAGCCAUUAGUUGAGGAUCGAAGAUGAUGAGUAGCAUUAGUCUCCAUUACAGAUCUAAAAAAUCAGAGGUUUGAUUGAUCUGUUCAUCACCGCCUCCGUAUGAAGUUAGGAAAGGGGCAUCUUUGGUGGUGUCGAUGUGAAUACAUUAGAUGGCAGUGUGUUUAGGGAUUCCUUGUAUUAGGGUGUAGUAUAUGAUCCGUGCAGCGUAUAGAAUAAUACGUAUAAUGCUUUAAUAUAUUGUAAAUGAGGUAAUAUAUGUUGUACCUCUUAAUUUUCAAGAAAUGGGCAAUAUCCUUAAUAAUAUAUAUAUAUAUAUAACUAAAGCUUCGUUAUAAAUGAAACGUUAAGAUACUUUUAACAUUGCGAAAAACAUUUAGCAUACAACAAAUACCAAUACUACGAACAUAAAGUCGAUAAACCAUAAAUGAUUCAAUGACUGGGCCCAAAAUCUUCUGCUCGUGCUAUUUGGUCUUUGUGGCCCAAUAUCAUGAUUAUUGGGCCCAAUGUAUUCAAACAUGUUUAUUGGGUCUUGUUGAUCCAAUUACAUGCCUAAUGGACCCUCAAUGGCUUUUACAUGCUAUUGGGCCUUAGUGGCCCAUUUGCAUUUGCUAGUAAGGUCCAAAUCAGUCAUAGGCGUGAUUGGCUAACAUGUCCGCCGUAUACUCGACACCCUAUAAUAACAUACAUGAUUAGUAGGUCUCUGCAGCCCUCUUCUCUUCGUCUAUUAGACUUACCUUUUAUUCAAGUAAACAUAAAUCAAGUUCUAAACAAGGUUAUUCAAUAUCAGUUGGAUUUAGUGGGAAAUAACGGGUGACACCAAUAAAUAUCGGUCGUAGUCUGUAGUUAUAACCAAAGUCUCUUGGAGGGAGAGCGAGAGUUUGUGUAUAGGUCUAUACGGGUGUGACUCCCCCACACCUAAGUUGUUCGCUACAGUUAGACUUGGCCAGUCUAGGGUGACAAAAUCUUGAUCAAAACCGGAGUUUGGAAAAAUGUCAAGACAGGCGAAUUAGUCAUUAUUAUGCAUGGUUAUAAAGACUCACAUAGAGAUCUAACACCAUCUAAGUAAUCAUGGGAAAACAUAUUCAUUCGUUGUGACGAUUUAAUAAUACAAAACUGUCAUACUACUUAUAUCAGAAAACAUCGGGUUUUCCGGGGGAACAACAUUAUUCACUCCUACAUACAACACUAUAAUACAAUAAUCAAUAAUAAUCACUUUUACUUGUUUUGAAAUCACAUACAUAUGCACUCAUGGGAUCAUCGCAUCUUUUUUGCAAACAGUUUUUGUACAGAAAAUAUCAGAUUUUCUGGGUUUUACAAACAAUACAAACUAAUUUUAUGCUUAUGAACUCACCAACAUUAUAUAUGUUGACGUUUUUAAAACAACUUGUAUUCUCAGAUAACAGAUAAGCUGAAGAAAGUUAUCAAGUGUGUUAGGAUGUUAUGUUUUGUGACUCUCAAACAAUUUAUGUUAUGGAUAUGUAAUAUUUAAAUAAUGUACUUGAUGUGAAGAAUGACAGUUGUACUAUGUAAUGUUGGUGAUGUAUGUGUUUGUUCAUGUAUAUUCACUGUGAUGGUAUUCAAUUGCUAGUCACACGAGCCCUCGGACGUUUUCGCCGUCUGGUUCGGGGGUGUGACAGGUUGAUAUCAGAGCCAGGUGUAUAGUGAACUCGCAUAUCUAACCACACAUUGAUAUGCAACUAUAAACCCAAAGAGGGACUAAACAACUCUGAACAAAACAAAUAAAUUAUAAUAAUAAACACUCUUACUUGUGCGACUUAGGAAAAUAAACAUAAUAACAAAUCAAAUAAAAUGAUUUGAAAAUCCUGACAUAUCGGUUAAGCCAGGACUGUUCAUAGUUGUAUUAAGGGGCGAAUGUAGCCUGGUCAACUACAUUUCCUCCAGAAUACAACUAUCACAUGCCCUGGGGCGAUCACGAUGGUCGGUAAACCUAAAACAUACCCUUUUAUUAACCAAGAAGAGAACAUCAACUUAAUUUAUAUGACAACUAAAACAUCUUAGGGGUAAUAAUAGUUUAUUUAUAUACCCUCCUUGUGUAUUCCUCAUCAUAGUCACUAUGGAAGACGAGCAUCAAGGCAUUCAGUUUCACCAGGCCUUGGUGGCCCACGGAAUGAUUGAAGACGACCCCGAGGAAGGACAAGGAGCAGCUCAUGACAUUGGACCCGACGAGUACACCGAUACAGAUUACGAGUAUGAGGGGACCGAUGACGACAAGGAAGAAGAAGGAGACACAGACGAAGCCUACGUUGAAUCACCUACCGACAAAAUGGACCAGGACCAUCCUGACCCACCAGGAAACCCCGUGGGAGAGGAUCGUUCGCUAGAAGAAGAGGUUACCACACGUCGACAACAGUUGUUUGCCAUGGAAGCAAGAGCCGUGCAAGCUGAGCAAGAACGAGAUGAAGUCAUCGGAGAGAUAACCGAGAUGGCUCAGUUGUUGGCACAACAUUUUGGGAUAUGAUAUCGUUCCCACCAUUAGGAGAUUUACAGCAUGAUCAGGAUCUGCAGUAUGUCUAUUGGUAUUAGGAAUCUCUUAUAUGAUCUAUGCUAGGUACCAUUGACUCUAUGUUUAAGUGAUUACACUACUCAUAGAGUCGUUAUGCUGCCGAACUUUGUACCCUUUAUGUAUGCUCUUUCGAGCAAAUUUUCAUGUAUCAAAGUAUGGAUAUUAUUAGUGGAAAAUAAUAUGUGUUCUAACGUGAUGUUGUUAUCUGCUAUGUGCUAUAUUUCCAUGUUGUAUGUCAAUAUGUGAAACUACUUAAUUAUAUGCAAUACACCUAGUUUAUAGGAUCACAAACUCGCAAAAAAAAAUUAUAGGCACUCAACAUCUUUUUGUUCCAUGACAGAAGGAUGCCUCAACGACCCACCCGUGGAAACCCCGAGCCGACACCACCAUAAAUCAACUCAGUUGCAUUUCAAGCAGUUGUAUCUGCUACAGUCACAGCGGCAUUGGCACGUAUCCACAAUGGGAACAAUGGUGGAGGCGAAGGACAAGGGGCUGGAAGCUCAAACAACGGAAUGAACCAGGGGCCUACCAAGACAUGCUCCUACAAAGAUUUCACCAACACCAAGCCACGAACCUUUAAUGGCACAGGGGGAAUGAUAAACUUGAAGAGAUGGAUCGAGAAGGUGGAAUCGGUGUUCGAGAUAUGUGAAUGCCCCGAAGAGGUCAAGGUGAAGUUUGCAGCAUGUAUAUUUUUUGAUCAAGCUCUCACCUGGUGGAAUGGACAUGUGGAGGCCAUGACUCUUCCCGUAGCCAACGCCAUGCCGUGGGCGGAAUUGAAAGAAAUGUUGAUGGUCGAGUACCCGCAUGGCGAAAUUCAGAAAAUGGAACAAGAGUAAUGGAACCUCACAGUCCGAAACUCCGACAUCGGUACUUACAUAUCAAGGUUUAGCAAACUGUCUCUGUUGUGCCCUGGCAUGAUUACCUCGGAAGGAAAGAAAAUCGAACGAUUCAUCUGGGGAUUAACUCCGCCAAUUCAAGGAAAUGUAAUAGCCGCAAAUUUUGAAACCUUUGGCAGCGGCAAGAGGUUGGCCAAGAAGUUGUACGACCACAACAACAAAAGAGGGGAAAAAGCAGAGGAAACUGAAAGCAAGAAGGAGAGUGAUAACAAGAAGGGAAAGAAUAACAAGCGGAAGGGAAGACAAGGCUCAGAGUCGUCAGAGAAACAACAAACAGUGAUAGUUCAUGUUGCAACCACCCAAGUUCCCUCCACGCUACAUGUUCCAACCUCAUCUACCCCAAGUGCCCCUAAGCAGUAUUCCGGAAAUCUCCCAAAGUGCAACAAGUGCAAUUUUCAUCACAAUGGUGAAUGCAGGGAGAUGCAUUGUACCAGUUGCCACCGAAAGGGUCAACGACAAAAUACUGUAGAAACUAUACUCCCCAGAACCAACAACCGGGAAACAACAACAACAACCGCAACAACAACAACAACAACAACAACAACAACAACAACGGCAACAAUACUGGGGAAAGCCACACUUGUUAUGGAUGUGAAAGGACUGGGCAUUUUUGUCGAAACUACCCCACUGUCAACAACCCAAGGAAUGGAGGAGCGGCGAGAGUGCUGACCCUAGGACAAGGAGAAGCGGUUCAGGAUCCCGCUGUAGUCACUGGUACGUUUCUCCUUAACAACACAUAUGCAUGCAUUCUGUUUCAUACCAUGGCAGAGCGAAGUUUUGUGAGUAAUAAAUUCAAAUAUUUGUUAAAACAACAACCCUAGAAGCUUAAUGAAACCUUUACGGUGGAAAUGGCUAAUGGGAAAACAAAAUCAACUGGGGAAAUCUACGUAGGAUGUACCCUGACCUUAAAUCAUCACGCGUUUCAAAUAAGUUUGAUGCCUGUAUCUAUUUGUAGUUUUGAUGUGAUUAUCAGCAUGGAUUGGUUGAACCCCCAUCAUGUCGAAAUUAUGUGUCACGAGAAGGUCGUUCGCCUUCAUCUCCCUAACCAAGAAACCCUAAUUAUAUAUGGAGACAAAUCCAGUAUGAACCUUCGUCUUAUCUCGUGUAUUAAGGCACAUAAGUGUCUACAAAAAAAGGACUUGGCGUUUCUGACUCAUAUCUUCGAUAAAUCCAAGGAUGAGGUUAGUAUUCGAGACAUACCAGUGGCUUGCGAUUUCCCUGGCAUCUUUCCUGAAGACCUUCCGGGGAUACCCCCAGAAAGGCAAAUCGAGUUGCGAAUUGACCUUGUGCCAGGAGCUACACCCAUCGCCAAAUCUCCCUAUAGAUUGGCUCCUGUGGAGAUGCAAGAACUGUCAAGCCAACUCAGCGAACUCUUGAGCAAAGGAUUCAUCCGACCUAGCUUCUCACCUUGGGGAGCUCCAGUCCUUUUUGUUAAAAAGAAGGACGGAUCCUUUAGAAUGUGCAUCAGUUAUAGAGAGCUGAAUAAGCUCACUAUUAAGAAUCGCUACCCACUUCCACGAAUCGAUGAUCUAUUCGACCAGCUUCAAGGAGCAAAUUACUUUUCUAAGACAGAUCUGCGAUCCGGCUAUCACCAACUCAAGGUCCGGGAAGAGGAUAUCCCCAAGACCGCUUUCUGAACUCGCUAUGGACAUUAUGAAUUUGUUGUAUUCGGUCUAACGAAUGCCCCUACCACAUUCAUGGACCUGAUGAAUCGAGUAUGUCGACCAUUCCUCGACAACUUUGUCAUCGUUUUCAUCGAAGAUAUUCUGGUCUAUUCUCGAAGCGAAGAGGAGCAUGGUCGACACCUCCGACAAAUCUUGGAAACCUUGCGAGCCGAAAAGUUAUACGCAAAACUCUCUAAGUGUGAAUUUUAGCUUCGUAGCGUAAAUUUCUUGGGUCAUGUUAUCAUCCAAGAAGGGAUACAUGUGGACUCUUCUAAGAUCAAAGCCAUUGAAGGAUGGGCAGUCCCAACGAAACCCACUGAAAUUCGACAAUUUCCGGGUCUUGCAGGCUACUACAGAAGAUUCAUUCAAAACUUCUCCAGAACGGCCAAGCCACUUACCAUGCUUACACAGAAGGGCGUACCAUUUGAAUGGACCAAAAAGCAGGAGGUUUCCUUCCUAACUCUAAAACGAGCUCUCUGUAGUGCAGUACUAUCAUUACCAGAGGGAACUGAGGACUUCAUAGUUUAUUGUGAUGCUUCGAAUCAGGGUUUAUGUUGUGUACUAAUGCAGCGUGGGAAAGUGAUAACAUAUGCAUCCCGGCAACUAAAGACACAUGAGGUGAAUUAUACCACCCAUGAUCUUGAAUUGGGAGCUGUGGUUUUUGCCUUGAAGAUUUGGAGGCUCUACCUUUAUGGUACAAAGUGCACCAUUUUCACCGGCCACAAGAGCCUCCAACACAUUUUAAAUCAAAAGGAGUUAAACAUGAGGCAACGAAGAUGGGUUGAGCUGCUAAACGAUUAUGAGUGUGAAAUCAAGUACCACCCAGGCAAGGCUAAUGUGGUAGCUGAUGCCUUAAGUCGGAAAGAGCACUCAAAUCGUCGUGUGAAAACUCUUUCAAUAACCAUUCAAUCCCAUCUGUCCUCGCAAAUCAAAGAAGCCUAGUUGGAUGCCAUGAAGACAGAAAACAGAACAAAAGAAGCGUUACAUGGAAUGGAAAAGAACUUCAAAGUCAAGGAGGAUGGAGCGUAUUAUUUCAUGAACUGGAUUUGGGUCCCUAAACUUGGGGGAUUCAGAGAGGUAGUCAUGAAUGAGGCCCACAAGACACGAUACUCCAUCCAUCCGAGUUCAGAUAAAAUAUACCUGGAUAUCAAGCAACAUUAUUGGUGGCCUAACAUGAAGGAAGAAAUUGCCACUUACGUUAGCAAGUGCCUCACUUACGCUAAAGUGAAGGUAGAAUAUCAAAAGCCCUCGAGACUAUUACAACAACCAAUAAUACCCGAGUAGAAAUGGGAAAGGACCAUGGACUUUGUGACUAAAUUAUCCAAGACAAAUGACGGAUUGGAUGCCAUAUGGGUAAUAGUCGACAGGUUGACGAAAUCUGCCCAUUUCCUACCAAUAAAGGAGACAUACAAGAUGGAACGACUGACGAGAAUCUACAUCAAAGAGAUUGUGAAACUCCAUGGAAUACCAAUAUCUAUCAUCUCAGACCAUGAUAGUAGAUUCACUUCACGCUUUUGGCAGACGGUUCAGAAAGCUAUGGGGACACAACUCGACAUGAGCACUGCUUACCACCUACAAACGGAUGAUCAAAGUGAGUGAACCAUUCAAACGCUUGAAGAUAUGCUUCGAGCAUGUGUGACAGACUUUGGAAGGUCGUGGGAUAUCCAACUGCCUUCAAUUGAGUUUUCGUACAACAACAGUUAUCACACAAGCAUCAAAGUUGCUCCUUUUGAAACAUUAUAUGGGCGUAAAUGUAGAUCACCAUUGUGUUGGGCUGAGGUAGGUGACACUCAGCUAGCAAGAGGGCCGACACCAAACAAUGCAUUAACAGGGCCAGAAAUAAUACGUGAAACGACAGAGAAGAUAGUUCAAAUCAGAGCUCGACUUCAAGCAUCACGAGACCGACCAGAAGAGCUACACUGAUAAAAAACGAAAGUCCUUGGAAUUUCAAGUCGGGGAUCGGGUGUUGUUAAAAGUAUCUCCCUGGAAAGGGGUGAUCACUUUCAGGAAACAGGGAAAACUAAACCAACGGUACAUUGAACCAUUCGAGAUUCUUGCCUGAAUCGGUCCAGUGGCUUAUAGACUGCAGCUACCUGUCAAUCUCAACAGUGUACACCCCGUGUUCCAUGUUUCCAAUUUGAAGAAGUGCUUACCCGACGAAACACUUGUCAUCCCCAUGGAUGAAAUCGAAAUCAACGAGAAUCUACUGUUCGUCGAGGAACUGAUUGAAAUCAUGGACAGUGAAGUGAAGCGUACUAAGCACAGUCAAAUUCCGAUUGUGAAAGUUCGGUGGAACGCAAAGCGUGGACCGAAAUUCACAUGGGAACGCGAAGAUCAGAUGAAGCAAAAGUACCCUCACUUAUUCUCGCACUCUCAGACCUAGUUUCAAAAGAAUUUCGGGACGAAUUUCCCUCUAACGGGGGGUGAUGUCACAACAAGGAAUUCUAAUGCUUUUGUAAACAUUGACAAUGAUGACAUUUGUGACUAAAACUUGAAAACAUGCAUGAUGUUUAUUCAAUGACAACAAAAUUCCAUCAAACACUCUAUGCAAACACUUCAAAUGGUCAACAAAAGAUUGGAAACCCUAAAAAUCCCGGUUUAAUUCCAUUAUGGACUAGGAUUUCCUUAUUGGGCCUAAUGGACCAAUAAGCUUCCAAUUUGACUAUUUUGGGCUUAGGACCCUUAAAUGGGCCCUAAUUGGACCCACUUUCAUGAAACUUAACAUUUUGGGCCAUAAUGCAUCCAAAAUGAAUUGGUUUACCUUAAUGGGACUUAUUGGGCCAUAACUAACCUAAUAAGCUUUCAUGAAACAUAAAUCCAUUCUUUUAUAAAAAAAAAUUGGGAUGUGAACUACACUAAAGGCCCAAUGGGUCGAAAAUCUUGUCCAUAAAACAUUAUAAUCUCGAACCAAGGAUUUAAGUGGGCCAAACUAAUUCAUUCCCUCCUUCCUUUGUUAGGUCAUUUCGGCCCAUGUAAAAAAAAUAAAAUAAAUAAGAAGAAUGAAAGAUUUAUCCAUGCCACCUCAUUUUUACAAGAAGGAUAACCAAGCAUUAUAAUCAACAUAUAUCCAUGCAACUUCUCAUGUCUCCAUGCAACUAUCACUUUAGUUCUUUCUCUCCUCUCUCUUUCUUCUUAUCUUCGGCCGAGGCUACCCACACAUACACAUCACCAUUGCAAAUUACUUCAAACUCUCUCAAUAAAAUCUUCAUGCUUCCUCCAAAUUUUCUAGAAUCAUAAGGGCUUCAAGAAGAAUUUUAUCCAAAAAUCACUUCCAACUACAUACUAGUGGUAAGAUCUUGCAAACAUGUUUAACUUCUACACUUAAUCACUCUUCUUACAACCUUAAAUUCUUGAUCAUACUCCAUAGAACCCUUCAAAUUCGAGGUCUCUUCAAGGAGCUUGUUAGGGCCAAAAACAAUACCAUCUUCUUCCAUUUAUUCUUCAAAACCGUGAGCAACAAAGCAAGGUGAGUUCAUACCCCCUUUUUUCGGUUUUUACUUGUUUUUGGGGGGAGAAUACAAGUGUUAUGUGUUGAUCUAUGUGUGUUUGCAUGUAUUAUGUGAUUUCUUUGAUUUUGGUUGUAAUAAUAUGUUAAUACUUGAGAUAUUUCGAGAUCUAUAGCAAAAGGGUGAAAGAAUCAUAAACAAAAACAUAAUAAACAACAUACGUCAUAGAUCUAAGGGUCCUUAAGUUUAAUAAGUGAAAAACAAAGCCAAAGAUCUUUACAAGUGUCAUUUUGCAAAAAUAACAAAGAUUGGGUAAAAAUUGAUAAUUUUCGGUUUUAUGAGGGUUAUAAGGUAUUUAUUUAUAUAAAAGCUGAUUUUUAUGAAAAUAAUACUUUUCAAAGGGUCAAAAACAUAAAUUUUAGCUUAAUGGGCUUAAAUUUGGGCCUCACGAGUUUUGGGCCCAAAGUUGCAAAAAAUGAAGAAUUUUAGGGGCUGGAGUGGAAAAAUUAACAAACUAUGAGUCUAAAACGUAAAUAAACUAUUUCAGGGGCUGAAAAUGACUUUGAUGCAAAAGUUGGACUAAAAAUACAAAGUUUUUGAUUUUGGGGUAAGAAUUCUAAAACUUACGGAAUUUGAGCCAAAAAUCUAAACUUUUUACAAAUAAAGGGUGGAAAUGACAAAUACACUAGUUUUGGGUUGAAAUUAUUAUUUAAAUAAAGUUUGGGUAAAAAAUGACAAGAAAAAAUGGUUUAAGGACCAAAAAUGUCAAUUUUCAUAAAAAGGGACUAAAGGUGCCAUUUUUAUAGAAAAAGGGGCUGCAAUUGAUAAACUAAAUGUUUUUAAGCCAAAUAGACAAUUAUAAAUUUUUGGGUUAAAAAUAUCAAGUUUAUAACGCAUGGUUAUAUAUAUAUAUAUNNNNNNNNNNNNNNNNNNNNNNNNNNNNNNNNNNNNNNNNNNNNNNNNNNNNNNNNNNNNNNNNNNNNNNUAUGGGAAAAGGGAAUAUAUGGCUGUUAUGUAUGUAUGCUUGGGUAUAGAACCUUCUAAUACGACAGCGUUUUGUAAAAAAAAAUUAAAAACUUGUUCAUAGAUUAUGCGGGUUUUUUCCAUGCAUACCGUUUGUUUCCUUCUCCACUCAUCUGAAACCCUAAAUCUUCAAAUCGUGGUUCUCCAUCCACAAUCAAAUUGAUUUAAGGUAAAAACUUUUUCUCCUCUACUGCACAUGAAAUUUCUGUUUUGGUUUAGUUGAUUCGGACUAAAAUGCAAUCAGCAUAUAAAAAAAACUUGUUUUUUUAUCAUUGUCGUCAAAAGAUUCUAUCAAUUUAAGAAAAAACACACUACAUGAUAUUUAAUUGAUUUCUUUAACAAAACAAUAGCUAAAAUCUAACGCAGUCAUCAUAAUUUUUAAUUGGUUUCUUUAGCUUUAAUUGGUUUCAGACAAUUAGUACAAACACUAAAAUUAAAGCCUUUAGUUUUGUAAAUCUAAAACGGAGAUAACAAUUAAUUACAAUUAAAUUUUCGUCUUCAAGUAGAUCAAUUAUAAAACCAAUAAUUUAAGAGUGUGUUCUAGUUCCAUGAAAGAAAUUAGAAAGAAACGAAAUUAACUCUUAGUAAUUUUUAACUUGUCAAUGUUUAUGCAUUAUGGGUUUGUAACUUUGUACUGAUUUUUUUUAUCCCUUGUGUGUGUGCUACAGGACAUGCAUAAUACCAUGGAUUUAGAAUUUCAAGAAUCUAAUGAGCCAUUACAAACAUAUGCAACUUAUGUUGAUGCUGAUGAGCAAUUACAAAGAGAUGCAUCUUAUUUUGAUGUUGAUGUUAACCUUGGACAUGAUGGAGAUGAAAGUAACGAUGAAGGUAUAAAUCAAAUGUUAAGAUAUUUUUAACAUUGCGAAUAAACAUUUAGCAUACAACAAAUACCAACACUACGAACUUAAACUCGAUAAACCAUAAAUGAUUCAAUGAUUGGGCCCAAAAGCUUCUGCUCGUGCUAUUGGGUCUUUGUGGCCCAAUAUCAUGAUUAUUGGGCCCAAUAUAUUCAAACAUGUUUAUUGGGUCUUGGUGAUCCAAUUACAUGCCUAAUGGACCUUCAAUGGCUUUUACAUGCUAUUGGGCCUUAAUGCCCCAUUUGCAUUUGCUAGUAAGGUUCAAAUCAAUCAUAUGCGUGAUGGGCUAACGUGUCCGCCGUAUACUCGACAACCUAUAAUAACAUACAUGAUUAGUGGAUCUUUGCAGCCCUCUUCUCUUCGUCUGUUAGGCUUACCUUUUAUUCAAGUAAACAUAAAUCAAGUUGUAAACAAGGUUAUACAAUUUCAGUUGGAUUUAGUGGGAAAUAACGGGUGACACUAAUAAGUGUCGGUCGUAGUCGGUAGUAUAACCAGAGUCUCCUGGAGGUAGAGCGAGAGUUUGUGUAUAGAUCUAUACGGGGGUGACUCCCCCACACCUGAGUUGUUCGCUACAGUUAGACUCGACCAGUCUAGGGUGACAAAAUCUUGAUCAAAACCGGCGUUUGGAAAAAUGCCAAGACAGGCGAAUUAGUCAUUAUUAUGCAUGGUUAUAACGACUCACAUAGAGAUCCAACACCAUCUAAGUAAUCAUGGGAAAACAUAUUCAUUUGUUGUGACGAUACAAUAAUACAAAACUAUCAUACUACUUAUAUCGGGAAACAUCGGGUUUUCCAGGGGAACAACAUUAUGCACUCCUACAUACAACACUAUAAUACAAUAAUCAAACAAUCACUUUUACUUGUUUUGAAAUCACAUAUAUAUGCACUUAUAGGAUCAUCGCAUCUUUUUCGCAAACGGUUUUUGAACAGAAAAUAUUGGAUUUUCUGGGUUUUACAAACAAUACAAACUAAUUUUAUAUCAAACAUGAUUAUGAACUCACUAACAUUAUAUAUGUUGACGUUUUCAAAACAACUUGUAUUCUCAGGUAACAGAUAAGCUGAAGAAAGUUACCAAGUAUGUUAGGAUGUUACGUUUUGUGACUCUCAAACAAUUUAUGGUAUCGAUAUGUAAUAUUUAAACAAUGUACUUGAUGUGAACAAUGACAGUUGUACUAUGUAAUGUUGGUGAUAUAUGUGUUUGUUCAUGUAUAUUCAUUGAGAUGGUAUUUAAUUGAUAGUCACACGAGCCUUCGGACGUUUCCGCCGUCUGGUUCGAGGGUGUAACAAGGAUGUAUGGUUUUAUAAAGGUAUUGAAAGGCUCACAAUUUUUAAACGAUUCAACCCAUUGCUUUCUGUUUUUUCAUGCCCAAAUACUUGUGAAACUUCUUCUCUGGCACGCUCUUGCCAAUUUGUGUGCUGAGCCAACAAAAACAUAGUGCAAACUAGUAAGAUUCCAAUAGUCUCUUGUCCAGCAAAGUAGAAAAGCUUACACUCAUCGAUUACUUCAUCAAUGGUUAAUCCAGAAUUCUUAUACCCAUGUUUAAUUUCUCUGUAAUUUGAUUCCAAGAGUAUUCCCAACAAGUCAUCUUUACUCCUUUCUACAGCUUUCAUUGCGAUUGUUCGUUUGUCAAUGAUACUCCUUAUGGUAGCCCUCACUUCUCGGUCAAUUUUCUUUAUCCUGUUAUUGGUUUUUGUUGGCAAAAACCUGGUAUUUAUGUGUGAAUUAUAUUAGAUCGUCUCUUGAUCAAGAGAAAAACAAUGUAAUAAAAUAUUUUUCGGAAAGAUAAACACCUCGAUCCAGGAAUGUAGAAUGAUUGUAUAGCGUCUAUAACUAACACUGCUAGUUCCCGUUGUAGCUCAAAUAUUAUAUUCCCUUCUUCAAUGUUACUACCUAAUGUUGUACGUGAAAUAACUUCACUGGAUAACAUUUCACUACAAGGAUCGAGCACUAUGCAGACAAAUGAUAAUAAUAACAAUAGAAAAAGGUCCCAACCUUUCAUAUAGUAUAUACAAGUUUUCAGCAUUAGAGACAUCAAAUAAAGUCAGUUUAAUGGUAAAGGUAUUGCCCUUGACAUCCAAAGGUCGCACCUACGAAUAAUGUAAUCCCCAAGAGUGUGUUUUUCAAACAAGCUUAAAAAGUUGGCCUGUUUGCCAUGUAUGUAACUAACUUGUUUUUUUUUUGAACGACCAUGUUAGUAUUUGUCUGGGAUUGAACCCAAGACCUCCUGCUUAGAAACCCUAGUUAGACACUUUGUAUGUAAGCAACUUGUAACCGACAAAACCUCCUAAAAAGCUAUAAACGAAAAAAAUUAAACAAAACUUCUGUAAGCAACUUGUAACCGAGAAAACCUGCUAAAAAGCUAUAAAUGAAAAAAUUAAACAAAACUUUCGAUGUUACUGAACCUAAAAUAGGUCAAAGGGUAAAACCAAAGAUUUUAUAAAAACUUAAUGACUUUUAUUUCAUUAGCCCUAUUACCCAAAAGCUUGUUUUUUAAACAAGCUUAAAAAGCUACCAUUUCUGGCUCAACGCCAUGUCCGCCGAUUGAGCCUAGUCCGCGUCGACGUGGUUUGCCACGUCUUUAAGCAACUUGUUGUAACCGGAAAAACUUGCAUGCUAAAAGGGUAUAAACGAAAAAAUUAAACAAAACUUGCAGUUUCACUAGACUGAAAAUACAUCAAAAGAUAAAACCAUACAUUUCUCGAAAACCUAAAGGCUUUUAUAUUAUUAGCCAUAUUUACUAACAUGUAACCCAAAUGUAAAAGCAAGAACCAAAAGGUUGCACGUGCCCAUUAUUAUGCCAAUGUAUGAAUCUGAGGAAAAAAAUUUAAAAUCAUACGUAAAAAAAUGGGAAGUAAGAAUAAUAAUGUAAAAGAUUUGAACAGCUUACUAAAAUAAUUAAAACAAAAUAUUUAAAUAUUAAAUAUAAAUUGCAGCUAAUAAUAUAAUAAUUAUAUUAAUAUAAUGAUUAAUAAAUAAUAAUCAGUAAUAAUUAAAAUAAAAAAUGUAUAUAUAAGAAACGUAAAAUUAACUAUUAAUUAUUAAUAAUUUACUUUUACAAACUACAAUUAAUUAAUUAUUAGUAUUUAAUUUCGCAAUCUGCUGAUAAAAUAAUUAUUAAAAAGAUUUGAUAAGUAAAAAUGCGAUUAGAUAUAUUGGAAGCCAAGACAAAACUGCAUAGACAAAGUUCAGGAAAUGAGCAAGAAGGUAGGAGUUCUUAGGCGGCUAUAGCUAACAACUGCGCGCCACACUCUUUUCUUACCAAUUUCCUUUACUCAGACUAUAUCGUUGACUAUAAUAAUUAGUCAAUAUUUGAACAAACCAUUGGGGAAUGAUCGUGUAUAAAUAGAUCCUUCAUAAAUGGUUACUCACACAUUCAUAUUCUUUCAAUCAUUGAAAAAAAUGGCUAUAAUCUUAAAAAGAGGAAGACUUACCUUGGCUCUUAUCAUCCUCAUCGUCAUUAGUUCAUCAUCUCACAUCAUUACAACCACCGCCACUGCUCGGAUUCCGUACAACCAUGUCCGCCAACUAGGUUCGGUUUUCUCUAAACCUCUCACAGUUAAUAAUAAAAAAACACUAAUAGAAGUUGCUCCAGUAUUUCUUAUAAAGUAACUAAAGUUGCAUUGUAAAUUCGUGUAGUUAAACUUUUUUUUUUAUAAGGAGUUGUAGCGUUAAUUAUAUUCUUCUGAUUUUGUUUUCUAUAUUUAUUUCAUUCGUGUAUUUAGUAUCAAUAGUCUAUAGCUAACUAAUCUGAUAUCCAUUCAUCACGGAUUUCCAGAUUUUCUGAUCAAACUAACCUUAUAUAAGAGUGCAUAUACAACUUGUCCUUCCCUAAAUAUUAAAAAUAUAAUUAGAAAUUGAUGUAUGCAGCUACAAAUUGCGAUUAUGACCCCAUACAACAAAAUGAUGGACCCGACGGGUGUGGUAGUGGAAGUGGAAGUGGAAGUGGAAGUGCAUCACCAAAACCAAAACCAAUACCAUGCGGUUCAAUGCCAGGUAGGAGCCUUUGUAGGAAGGGUUGCUGUGGGAAGACUAAAAUGGGAAGAGCCGAAUGUUGCUAGUAGUACGGAGGUUGUACUACAUCAAAUAAUGUAUCUGAGUCCCUUGUUUAGAUCAGAAAAUAAUAUUUCAAAUCAUUUCCACCCUCUGCUUUUCCUUAAAGUUGUCUAUGUAUGAGUAUGUAUGUCCACAAAAAUUUUAUAUCCAGAUAAUGUUGUUCGAAUUAAUCUCGAAGAAAUGAUUCUAUCAUUAUAUUUGUCAAGAUGGUUCACAAGUUUAGUAGAAGAAAACAAAAAUCAAACGUGGCUAUCUAA